AUGUUUGGGGACCAUGCGCUUGGAAGACUUUUUGGUUGGCAUAUCUGAUCAUAGGGAGCUAUUACAUAUAUGGAUGGAAAACUGCUUUCUUAGAUUUCCACUGCGUGAUGCUGGGUACAAAAACAGUGACACUUCAGCCUUUCUAAAAGGUGCCAUAUUGUACAAUGUAGCAUAAUAGGAAACUCAGCCAUGUACAUUGUAUGCUUCAUACUAGGCACUUUCCAAAUGCUGGUUCCUUCCUAUAUCUUCCCUUUCUAAAAUGUCUUUAAAAAUUAAAAGCUUUAAAAAUUGUAUUAGCAAGUCUGACUUUCCCAUUUUUUAACUAGCUGUACACGCAAUCCUGUGCAUUGUGAAUUACUUAUCUGUCCAUUGCAGAUGAAGAGACUGAAGCUAACGAAGUUAAAUAAUUUUUCCUAAGCCACAUAGGGAGUGACUAGUGAAGCUGGACUUUGCUUUUCCAUUACACAGGGGAGCCAGGAAAACUUCCUCAGGCUUUCCCAGACUUACAACCAUAGAGCCAAUGGAUUAGAAGGGACUUCAGAGAUUAACAUGUCUAACUGCUUCAUUUAAGAGGUAUACACAGUGAAGAACUUGAAUCUGGAACUGGAUUUACACACUAGAGGAGGGCUUUAUAGAUCCCUUUUGUUGGGCUUGGGGACAGCACCAUGUCUGCCUGAAAUGAAGCAAAGAAGGUCUGUGGCCAUGAAGACAAGGAGACAAUCCUUCUCUCUGAUCCUGAUUUAUGGGGAUUCCAGUACCAUACAUAGAGGCCUGGCAAAUAACAGGUACUGAAUAAUGACACCUUAUGUUUCCCCUGGAGUCUAAAUUGGUCAAAAGAAUAACAGAGAGAGAGAGAGAGAACUCAUGUUGAGUGUCUAUAAUGUGCAGGCAUUGUGCUUGGUUCGCUACAAACAAGAGUAAUAAUAAUAGCUAAUACUUUUUGAGGGCCUACUAUGUGU